ACUGGUUACCUAGCUUACUGGUUACCUAGCUUACUGGUUACCUAGCUUACUGGUUACCUAGCUUACUGGUUACCUAGCUUAUUGGUUACCUAGCUUACUAGUUAUGUUACCUACUUACCAGUUGCUUGCCAGACUAACUUUGUGGUUAGCAUCGAAAUUGUUUACAAGUAGAGUUUAUAGACAGCCGUCAACGCAUUAGACUUUUGGAGUGUGGGUCGCUGAGUGGCUUCCUCGUAAAGCUGCUUCAAAUUCCUGUGUAGUGUUUCACCUGUUCCUGACAUCCAUUUCUUAAUUUUGCUUCCUGGCCUGGUUUGAUAGCUGCCCAUGUGCCCGGUUCAGUUCACAGCUAAUCUUACAAAAUUGCACUUUUUUGGUUUUUGAGAGAGCCUCUAACCUUUUAAACUAGUAACGAUCUCUGUUACUAGUUUAAAAGGUUAGUAUUAACCUUUUUUCGUUAAGACGUUUACUUUAUUUUUAUAUUCGUUACACAUUUUGUAUUCCAUUAUAUUUAAUUACAAAAUGAUUAACCUGCUCAUAUCAGUGUCGUAUUUUAGGUACUAGACUCAGGUCAGCGAUCAAGCAGCCUAUUCCAAUUUCUUCGUCAAUUAGAUCAACAUCGAUCUUGAAUCAGAAUAUCAAGGUACCAGAUUCCGGUCGGAGAUUAAGCUGCGUUUCAGAUAUUUUCAAUAUCUUAAUUUACUGAACAAUGGAGAACUAUUUAAAGAACGGAGAAGAAAUAUUCCUCAAGUUCUGCACCUCUAAUGACAAACGACCCACUGAUGACAAACGACCCACUAUGUUGCCGAGAGCUCCAGAUCAGACGUAUAUAGACAGGUACCCGGAUAGUAGUAGUGACUUCGAAGAUGAACGACGACGACAAUCUGAUUAUGAGGCCGAAGUUAUGGUGUAUAGGGCAUUGGAGAAAUUACCGGACAAUAAGAUCAUCGUUCUUCAUAACUUUCAAUUCACGCACUUCCAAUACUAUUUGUGCGAUAAAAAUCAUGUGAAAAAGGGUUGUCGUUCAUGUAGAUCUAAAGAUAUUGUAGGGGAGUGCGAUUUUUUAAUUUUAUGUCCAGGCUCCAUUGUUAUAAUCGAAGUUAAGAACAUGUCUCACAUUGAGAUCGAUGAUGUUGCGAUUAACAAGGAAGAGCACUAUCGAGCAUUAUUUGGUACGUUCAAAAAGUCAGUUAAGCAGAGAAAGAAGAUAGAAUCUCUGAUUCAAUGUAUGGACAAGGACACAACUAUAUGUCAGUUCACUGCAUAUCCUAAUUUCAAAAAACAAUUUAAAGGACAGUUCCUGGCUAGUGAAAAUAUAGGAUUUCAGCUAAGCGAUUUAGAAUUAUCAACAGUGAUAUUUCAUGAGGACAUAUCAAGUUUUGGUUCUUGGUGGAAUAACAACGCAGCAAUAGCUCAAGAUACAACGUCAACAGUUAAUGAUGCAUUUCAAAAAGUUAGAGAUAUCUUACUUGCUAUAUGGUCUACCGAUAAAUACUACGAUAAAUCGAAAUGUAGUUUAGGAAACUGCAUAUCAAACAUUGAUGAACGGCUCAGAUCAGGAAAAUUUAUUUUUUUACCAAAAAAAGGGAAGAAGGGUGCACAGAAUCCUGGAGUUGUAACAGCUCCUGCUGUUAUCAAAAACUAUGUCAAAGUGGAUAACCUGACAGCAGAACAAAGUAAAGCGUUCGAAUCAAGCGAGGAUCUGUUGUGGAUUAAUGGACCCGCAGGAGCGGGGAAAAGUGUGAUACUUUGCGGUAGAAUGAUACAACUUGUACAACAACUUAAUGAGGACAAUAAAGUUGUGUUAUUCAAAUUCGGCGGUGAAGGUAAUAACUGUGAGCUGUAUCAGAGUGCAUUAAAGAAUGCUGAUGUCGACUGUCGAGAGACCAGCAUGUCUGACGUCACAGAACUAGUUACUCUAAUAUCAGAGAGUGAGUGUAAAGUUAUCAUUGUAGAGAUAACACAUGGGGAUAUACAGAAGUUAACAGACACAAUCAGUGCUGUGACCAACUGUCACAUAUUUAUUGAUGAUAUACAGGAGUUAUUAUAUUACAGCUCAACUAAGAAGUGUAGUGUGCUGAUGGACAAGUUGUUAUUAUUAAAGUGCACUGUCAUGGUUGCAUGUGACAUGGCACAGGGUUUUUGGAGUUUGAAUAAAAAGGGAAUUAUUGACGACCUGAGAAGGAUAUCUGACAAACUAUCAUCCACUCAGUUGGUACGCUUAUCAAUGAGCCUUAGGAACACAUGUGAUUUAUCUGACAUCUUAUGUGUAAUACGAGAACAAUUAAGAGAAUUUUCAGAAAUACCUGAUGUAUUAGAUAUGAUUUUACCUACACAAUUGCAAGGACACUUCAUACACGGUACAUUGCCUGUCAUGCAUGUGUUUAAUGAUUUCAAUGUUACUAGUAUUAUGCAUGUAUUUAAUAAUGAAUUAGAUAGAUUGUGUGAUGAAUUAAAUUAUUCUGAUAUAGGUAUAGUACAUACUGAUGUCACUAGUAGUGUAGAGUCACUAGUUAAGAACAGUGUUAAUAUGAGAUGUGAUAACACUGAUAGUAAGAUUGCAGUGUGUGACAGUGCGGAUAGUUCCUCUGCAGAGUGGCCAGCUGUAAUAGUACUGCUCACAGUGAGGUGGUACAGUAGUGAGGAGCUGGACCUGACUCACCUUUACUUAGCGUUAUCCAGAGCACGUGUUUACUGCUCUGUUGUUAUAUUCCCAUUGGAGGGUAGAACAUUAGACGAUGCACCUCACAUGUUACCUUUGUUAGAUAAACUGAGUAACUUUGCUCGUAUUAUACGGCAUUAAAUUAUAUAUUACUGUGUAAUAACGUUGGUGGGUGACUAGUUCAAUUUUUCAGAAACAUGUAUACACAAGCCUUCAAUGCGUUGAUUAAUUGACGAUUUUUGAAAUUUUGACCCAGCCGGGAUUCGAACUCGCAACCUCCGGGUUAAAGGGCCAAGGCUAACCAAUUGUACUAACCAAUUACGCCACUGAGGCGACAUUUGUACAAAUAUAUUAGGCUAGCAAUUAUGACUUGUAGAUAAUUUCACCCACUAACCUAAGUAUUGUUAUUAUUUAAUUGUGUUUCCUUUUUGAUUUAUUGCUAAAUAUUACAGUGUUUUGUAUCGAAAUGUUUUAUACAAUAAUAUGAAUGGGCCUGAAUAAACAUAGUAAUUACAUUACUGUCAUUCGUGGUUUGGAAACAGAAAAAUUACUCCAAUUAUGAAAAAUGUCAAAAAGUAAAAAAGGUACUAGUCUGCCUAAUAAUCUAUUAGCUAUUGGUUAUUAAUAUAAUUCACUUACAGUUAUAAUAGCAGAAAAUAGAUUCUAAAAUGGAUUCUAAAAUAGAUUCUAAAAUAGAUUCUAAAAUAGAUUCUAAAAUAGAUUCUAUUUUUUUUUCUAUAAAGUACAGAACUUGAAACUAGAUUUUGAGAAAAGCAAAACAUUUGUCCGGAAAACGUAGCCAUCUUAGAAAAGCGAUAAAAUUAAUUCACAAUUGUCCACUGAAAAACAUCGUAGAUAACAGGUCAACGCAACGUCGCGUUGCCCAUGAUAUGAACGGUUAUCAAACUGUCAACCAAAGCAAAGAGAACAGAUGGCAACUAAAUUGUCCGAUUAUAUGCGCGCGCGAAUUUUAUAAAAACUGCACGGGUCGAAUUACUGCAAUGCGCGCAAUUUGUUGAGCGUGCUAAAUCCCUUUAAUUUACAGUCGAUUUGCGAUUGGGUUACGGUUGGAAUCAGAUUGGAGGGUUAAAGUUUCGAAAUUCGAAUAAUAGUCAAUCAAGGCCACAUAAAGAACGUUUUACAAAUAUUACGUAAUAAAUGAGUAAAGAGUUUUGUUUAUUUGGGGACCAGCUUUUGGCUUUGCUUUCUGGCCAAUGUUUACUUCAAAUAUAUGUAAUAUAUUAAGACUUACUGGGCCGCGCUCAUGGCCUGUCAUUCCGCCGAAUCUUUAUUAUUUUUAUGAACAUAAUAGCCUGAGGUCCCCAGGUAAAUUAGGACGCAAUGAAACUACCGGACCACGAUGUAUGGGGACUUGCCACCCCAUGGCAACAUCAAAAUAUAUCGACUCUGUUAUUACAUCGCUUCCUGUUAAUAUAAAACUCCGUUAUAUUUAUAUUACAAAUUAAUUAUGCUAAUUAGGCUCUCGAGAACUGUUUAGUCCUGCAUUAUCACUUUAAAAAGCAAAAAACUGUGCGCUAAAACAUGUUGCAAACACUCGACAAAUCAAUUAAUUCACCACAAAAUAUAUUUGACCCAUAUUAUCCAUCGGCCUCAGUUUCAAUUUUAUCUCUACAAAGGAUUUUAUCAGCUCUUUAUGAAAAAGACUUUAUCCUUCUCUUUUGCCUCACCUCCUAGCUUGACUAAGAGUAAGUCUCUUUGAAUUUGGCGUUUUUCAGUAGAUCGAUCUGGACAGACGAAAACAGUUUUCUUCUCAGUUAUCUUCUCUGUUAUUCUCAGAUUCUUAGUGUUGGCGACAAGCUGAUCAACAACUAUUGAGCUUACUACUUUUACUUUGACGGGCCGCGCAGUAACUGAAUUGCCUUUAAAUGUCCUGCCAAUUCUGCACGCUUCAACUAUCUUCGGUUUCUGUCCAAUGUUUUGGAAAAUCUCGCUAACUGUGUCAAUAAGAUCGCUAUCGCUCCCUUCUGACAGACCAAAUACAAUGACGUUGCGACUGCGGUCCUCUUCCUCAACAACACGUUUGACUACGCUUUUAAGCGUUUCCGAACUGAUGACUUGCUUAGUUGGCCGUGAGUGUGAAUUCUUCACGAUUGAGCUGUACGUUUUGAAUUCGGUAUUAACUGGAAUUCGGUUUUAACAGGUAAAAUUUAUAAUGUAUUAAAAAAUAAUUGUAUACAACUAUCACAUUACAUCCUAUUUAUUGCCAGAGUUAGGAGUAAUGACAUUAAAAGCAACAAAUAACAAAAUUUAAAACUCACGAUUUCACGGCCUCUCAUAUCUGGUUCCUGAUUGGCCAGGUCCUCUCAUAGUGAUGCACGUGACCGUUAAGGACCAGGUUCACUCCGUGUUCCACCAGUAAAGUCUCGUAAUACUCCCGCCACCAGGUACACUCCGUGUUCCACCAGUAAAGUCUCGUAAUACUCCCACCACCAGGUCCACUCCGUGUUCCACCAGUAAAGUCUCGUAAUACUCCCACCACCAGGUACACUCCGUGUUCCACCAGUAAAGU